rnacentral:pre_miRNA from 9 species
UCUCGAUAGCGUAAAAGUUAGCUCAAAUUUGUAUGGAGUUCGAGCGUUUGCCUACGUUUGCCGCUAGGGGCGCUGUUCCAACUGCAUACAAAUUCGAGUUAACUUUUACGUUAUCGA